AGGGUUCGAUUCUGGCUCAGGAUGAACGCUAGCGACAGGCCUAACACAUGCAAGUCGAGGGGCAGCACAAGGAGCAAUCUGAGGUGGCGACCGGCGCACGGGUGAGUAACACGUAUGCAACCUGCCUGUAAGCGGGGAAUAACCCGUUGAAAGACGGACUAAUACCGCAUAAUACUAAAUUACUGCAUGGUAAUUUAUUUAAACAUUUAUGGCUUACAGAUGGGCAUGCGCAUGAUUAGCUAGUUGGAGAGGUAACGGCUCCCCAAGGCAACGAUCAUUAGGGGUUCUGAGAGGAAGGUCCCCCACACUGGUACUGAGACACGGACCAGACUCCUACGGGAGGCAGCAGUGAGGAAUAUUGGUCAAUGGACGAGAGUCUGAACCAAGCCAAGUCGCGUGCAGGAAGAAUGUCCUAUGGGUUGUAAACUUCUUUGAAGGGGAAUAAAGUACGGUACGUGUACCGUUUUGUAUGUACCCUUCGAACAAGGAUCGGCUAACUCCGUGCCAGCCGCGGC
rnacentral:rRNA from 1 species